AUGAUUGCACCAACUGAUCCAGAAUUUAGAAGUGUGCAUGAGAGACUGCAAGACCCUAAGUUUUUUCCUCACUUCAAUGGUUGCAUUGGUGCUAUUGAUGGGACACACAUACCUGUCACUGUGCCAGCUAAAGACAUGAUUAACCAUUGCGGUUGACAUGAAUAUUCAUCACCAAAUGUGAUGGCCGUAUGUGACUUUGACAUGAGAUACACUUCUGUAGUGGCUGGAUGGCCUGGUUCGGCACAUGACACAAGGAUAUUCAAGGACAAAAUGGAUAAGUACAAAGAAAAGUUUCCUCAUCCUCUGACAGGUAUUUGCUUAAAGCAAUCUCAUAAUUAA
rnacentral:rRNA from 1 species